AUGUUAGCAAGAGAGAAGGAAGAGAAAAAGCUCAAGGCAAAGCAAAAGGAGGGGGCUAGGCUCCAGGCUCAAGCCGCUUCGGAUGGACCGAAGAAAAGCGAGAGGAAACAAAGGAAGAAAGCCGUGGAUGAUGAAAAUCCUGAGGAUUUCGUUGAUCCGGACACCCCUAUUGGGCAGAAGAAAUCAAUGGCAACUCUAAUGGCCAAGGCGCCAAGCAGUAUAGCCCGAGCAUAG
rnacentral:rRNA from 1 species